GACGGACCAUAAAAGCGCCGAAAUCGCAUGAAAUAAUGCGAUUUCGGGUAAUCGGGAGGGCUUUUAUGCAAUUUGAUUUGUCGUAGCUGCUGUUGGCAGCAUGGGUGAGCUGUGGGUGACCUCUGGACUGAUGGUCCAAGGCCCCGGACCUUUGCGAAGAUCGGAAAUGUAUUUCCGGUGCGUUUGUCGGCAAAAUCCGCCGACGGAACGCGGUUUUGGUUCGGAAUUAUUCCGACGGUGCUUCGUGAGCUAUUGUGUGGUCGCUGAG
rnacentral:lncRNA from 1 species